CUGAUAUUUUGUGAUAGUAGCAUUCCUCCUCGAAAUGAUCUCAGACUUUGUUGAGUUGCCAGUGAAGAUCCAUAAAUAUUGGAACCAUCGAGAUGGCGAGUCUACGUCCUGCGUGAAUGUAACGCUUACUUGCCUUGCACUUGGCAAUGGUGAACCGUUGGCUGUUCUUGACCUUGAAUUUAGAAACAUUUAAAUGAUCACCAAAUAUAUGUAUCUAUAACGUAUGAGUAAUUCUCGUAAUAUAACUAGU